CCUACGUGAGGCAGCAGUGAGGAAUAUUGGUCAAUGGCCGCAGGGCUGAACCAGCCAAGUCGCGUGAGGGAUGACGGUCCUAUGGAUUGUAAACCUCUUUUGUCAGGGCGCACAGGGCGCCACGUGUGGCGCUUUUCGAGUACCUGAAGAAAAAGCAUCGGCUAACUCCGUGCCAGCCGCCGCGGUAAUACGGAGGAUGCCAGCGUUAUCCGGAUUUAUUGGGUGUAAAGGGUGCGCAGGCGGAAUGUCAAGUCAGCGGUAAAAGUUCGGGGCGCAACCCCGUCGGGCCGUUGAAACUGGCGUUCUUGAGUGAGCGAGAAGUAUGCGGAAGGCGUGGUGUAGCGGUGAAAUGCAUAGAUAUCACGCAGAACUCCGAUUGCGAAGGCAGCAUACCGGCGCUCAACUGACGCUCAUGCACGAAAGCGUGGGUAUCGAACAGGAUUAGAUACCCUAGUAGUC
rnacentral:rRNA from 1 species